rnacentral:rRNA from 1 species
CGCAUCUGUGCAUGCAGCAUAUCAAUAAGCGGAGGAAAAGAAACUAACAAGGAUUCCCCUAGUAACGGCGAGUGAAGCGGGAAGAGCUCAAAUUUGAAAUCUUAAAGGGUUUCCCUUUACGAAUUGUAGCUUAAAGAAGUGUUUCUGUUGAGGUUUUGGUAAAAGUUCUUUGGAAUAGGACAUCAUAGAGGGUGAGAAUCCCGUAUUUGACCUUUACUUUCAACUUUGUGAUACACUUUCAAAGAGUCGGAUUGUUUGGGAAUGCAGUCCAAAAUGGGUGGUAAAUUUCAUCUAAAGCUAAAUAUUGGCGAGAGACCGAUAGCGAACAAGUACCGUGAGGGAAGAUGAAAAGAACUUUGAAAAGAGAGUUAAACAGUACGUGAAAUUGUCAAAAGGGAAGCGUUUGACACCAGUGUUGUUUUUCUGAAAAUCAAUUAAAGAACUGUUUAUGCUAAGUUGUUUAGACUUUAUCAGCUAACUGUUUAGUUUUGAGCUUUUCUUUAUGCACUUUUCAGUUAACAAGUCAACAUCAAUUUCUUUUGCUGUAAAAAAGCUUGAGGAAGGUGGCUUGAGAUUCGUCUUAAGUGUUUAUAGCCUCUUGCCUAUGCAGUCGGAGAGAUUGAGGUCUGCAGCGUAGAUCCUUCGGGGCUAAAUGCAUUUGUGCUAAGUUAUAGCAUUUUAUAGACAACUUGUUGACUAUGAUUUGUCUUGUAGCUUACUCGCUUAUGUUAUUUUACCUACGCUUAGGAUGUUGACGAGACUGUCGAUCUC